AAGAUAUUCGUCGAGGCUUCCAUUCUUUGUUUCUAGCGCAUGAUUUCCUUUCUUGGCUAGCCUGAUCGCUUUUAGACGAGACCAAUAGCCUUUGUUACUUUUAACAAUACAAUGACCCGAAACAAAGCCAGGCUCUCGUAUCCAGAAUCACAGAAGGCGAUAAUCGAACGGUGUAAUAAAACUUCAUGUGGAAGGGAUUAUGUCGAUUGCACACGAGUUGCUUCUUUAAUCAAGCUACAAGCCUGCUUUCGUAAUUACAGAGAAUUCGCGAGUGGAGAUGCGAUUCAUCUGGUAUUUCUAAUUUCGAGAAGUGUUGCAAACGCGGCUACCUUCAUCAAGAAUGCUUAAUAACUUUCACCUUCGUGACAACGAUUUACACGUGAGAUACUGCUGCGUCGCAUGUAAACGGUCGCUUAAUUACGAAGAUGAAUGGGCGCGACAAAGAAUUAUGCGGGUAAUCCAUAACACCGACGCGAUCAAGUCGAAGGACUGGCGAAUUUAGAUGACCAAGUAGUAUUGUGUUAUGGAAGAAGGAAGUCAGGGACGAAAGGAGAUCUAAAAAUAUACAUUGAAAAACAGAAAAAGAAAAACGACUUUGCUCCCUUUUCGUUUAUCUCUGUGAUUGAUUUAUUGCUCUCUUUCACACAUUGUCAGGAACGCAUUGUCUAGUCAUUAACGACUCACAAAUAUCAUUUAGGACAUGAAUAAAAAAUUAAUCACGGCGCCAUCCAGUCAAACAGUCAUCGCGAUCGAUCAACGAGCCUUAACCCUUUCAUAACGUAAGAGGAGAGAGAAAACUGUCAACUAUAAUACCAAGAAUUAUUAUAAUUGUGGAACUUCGGUAAUAUUGAAAAUAAAAAUUUCCGACGCAAUUGUAUUCGAAAUCAUUCAUUGUAAACUGCCGUCAUUUUAUUACACGGUGAAAGGAUCAACGUAACCCGACUAUUCUAAACGCUUCGCUUGGCAAUAUUUACAACGUUAUACAAUUCUGCCGAGCAAGUUUUGGAUCAGUGUCACCGCAGUUGCAAUCUCGGAUGAUGCCGUACGCGUUUCCAUGUAUUUCAACCAGCUACAUUUCGAACCACGUUCUUCGAAAUUUCACAUCCGCGCUGGAAAUAUCUACAAUGUUAUACAAUCUUGUUUACCGAUCAGCAUUUUGAUCAAUGUCACACGUAUUCGGAUAUCGUUAGCGCACGUUACGCAACUCGAUGUUUUUGAACGAUGAAUCGGUUGUCUGUUUUCAUGGACGCGACGUUGAUUCAGCAAACCGUAACUAUUCGAAAUUAUAUAAAAAUUGAAAAAUGUAAAAAGUCAGCCGUGGAAUUUGUACGUGUUAGCGAACUCGUGAAAAAUCCUAAGCUAAAAGUUAAAUAAUUAUACGCUUAUAAAAAAAAAAAAAAAUUCGCCGACUUUAUUCCGUUCGUACGCUGCUCGGUUUUUAAAAAGUUUCUGAAACUCAUUAGCGAGGCGGUGCGUGCAUUAUUUUUCAUGAAAUUAAAACGCCUCUGAACGAUUUACCAACACUUCGUAAUUUCACAGCUACCAAAUCAACGUAUCGAUUUUCCAGUUGCGCAAUUAAUUUUUCCGCGAAUUACGCAAAUUACGUUACGCGUUCUGUCUUUUCUCGCCAACAAAUACAAAUACAAUUCGUCGAAAUCAUGACACCCCGUAUUGUUCCGAUUAAUCGAGAUUGAGGAAAUUUAUACGACUUUAUUUACGUUCUAACUGUUCUCAACCGACUUUAUUUUUGUUUACUCUCUCGUCGAAAAGCGUUAAACGACGCGGCUUUCGGUAGAAACAUUGGCUCGAGUUUGUCCUCACGUUCUCGAUAUAAUUUUUAAGGGGGAAGGUAAAAAUGUAACGGAUAUAGUAUUGACCACGGUUACUCGUUUAAAAACGGGCAAAUGGAUGUUUCGUGUAUAUUGGUAGGCCUCUAUAGGCACGGCCACCGACGUUGUACUUUUCAGAGGCAAAGGGCAAGUCAUUAUGAAUCAGAAAAUGUUGUCUGCUCGUGUUAACUAUUCCUAUAAUCACGAAGAUUUCGACCCUAUACAGAACGUUAUUUGUCGCUCGAAAUCCGAUAGAAACCUUUCGGAUUCGGUUCAGCUUGCCUCCCGUUUAAUACGAUCCGAUACCGGCCUAACGAGAUUUAAGCUGCGUAUGGACGAUAAAAGCUCGACAAGUUCUCUCUAAGAAGAGGAUCGAAAGCGAACCGCGGUUUCGACGCGUAAGCUUCUUCGCUGUAACGAAUUCAACAUUGGCCUCAAUCACUCGGACCGUUCACCAGCUGAUCGUUCAUUAACUCGGCGAUCGCAGAUCGGAGGAUUAGAAAGUGGCCAAGAACAACCGCUUGCAUCCCCACGAAUGCUCCUCCGCAAAAAGAGACUCGCCUGCAACUCCACGGAGAACGUCGAUCAACUCGAUUCUCGUUAAUAAGGGUUUCUUCUCUCGAGAUUUUCUGAAGCGAAUAUCUUUGUUCGUUCUUUUGCUAUUUUAGGAAACUUUUACAGCCAGAGUUGGAACGAAGUUUACAAGGUCCUGGAUGGACGGCCGGAACUUGGAUGGCGGAGCUUUCCAGUCUGAAAAGCUUAAAGGCGACAACUUUCUUCUUGAAGGAAGCCGGCGUUUUAAAUUCUGCAGGAGAGAGCGCUGGCACGAUCGAAUUUCACGAGCUGCACAUUUUACGCGUAGAUUUUUGACUGCUUAAGGGCAGCAUUCGCUUUCUCUCAACCCAGUCGCGAACUUUUUUACUCUGGAGAAGUCGCGUUGUUGGUUGGAUCGCGCGCGUUCGUCCGGUCUCUUUAUUGUCACGCCGUGCCGACAAAAGUUGUUCCGGGGUAACGACCAGCCGACUGAUUCAACUAACGUUUUCUAAGCAACCGGUCGAACAAGCGGUUCCUUUCUUGCAGCCGCCUCCUUUCUCCUCUUGCUCUUUUCUCUCACUCCGACUACUUUUUUUCCACCGCUCCUUCGGGAUCUCGUUGCUCCUCUUGACAAAGACGAAUGGCACCGGUGAAUCCUCUCGCGAACGAAUUAGUCAGUCGUCGAGUUCCGGCGACCUCCGGGAAGACAGGACCAAUUCGUAGAGUUUGACCCGAUCGGAGCACGGAAUAGGUUUCGAUAGAAUGUGCAAAUCGUCGUUCACGAUUCGUCGUUCGCUCGAUCAAAUAUUAAUCUUGACUGAGAGAACUCGAGUCAGAGAACAAGCACGACUUUCUAGAUCAGAGAAUAUCUCGAAAUUUGGUGCAAAGACAAAACUACUUUGAUGGUAGUUCGAUUUAAGAUUACUUGGAUGCUCGGUAUUAUUUUUCAAAGUCGAAACGUCAACGCGAGAAUCGUCGAUCUUUCAGAAUCCUUUUUAAACAUUCCUCGGGUUUAACACUCAGAUGUCGAAGAGGAUCAACAACCCUUCGCUGCAGGAUUCGACGAUCGUGGAAGUACGGUGUAUGAUUUCAGCCAAGCUAUCAGCUGGACUUGCUUCCCGCGGGAGCUCGAUAACCUUUGGAAAAGUUCCCAACUACGGCAACUUUGAAAGCCGAUUGAAAAUUUCGUUCAACGUUCCCUUGAUACUUCACGCUCUUUAUAAACCGUUUCCAACAUUAAAAACUUCGAUCUCAAUUAAACUCUCUUAAACCAGAGAUUUCGCGUCGGUUGUUUUAACGGCUGGACCAUUCCAUCGUUUAAACGCUGCCCUUUUCUACCUAAUUUCGCUGAUCGAGCUUUCCCAUCAACGACGACACUUUACAGCUCUCACCGAUUCGUUUUGAAUGGACGACUUGGUCGAUGAACUCGUUGGCUCGAUUCUGGAUGCGAUCAAGGAUCGACGAAAUCGUUUCAGGUCGGUCGUGCUCCUCUCGGUACAAUCAUAAAUCAGAAUAACGUGGGAUGAAGCAAUAAUUCGCGGGAACGAAACUCACGGUGUUACUCGCACGAGAUGUACGUGUGACAAGACUCAAAGUCUCGAGCUUUGUGUCGGAUGUAUGUUCCACGAGCGUCGCGACGCCCCAACUGGAAGCUGGCCACUUCUGUGCUUGGGUUUAUAUUUAAACAGCGAAGAGUAGCCGACGAAUACAACGACGACGCAUCGUCUUCCUUAGGAGAGAACGAGAAAGACCGACUAAAAGCAAGGGUAUAGUGUCGUAGAGGGAGAAAUACCAGACGGGAGAAAAAAGACGAUUUUGCAGUGCCCGAAACCGAAAAUAUUCCGAGAGAAAUGCGCAAGCAUGACUGAUUUAUUUGGUGUUAUUUAAAGAAGAAAUAUCAGAUUGUCAAGAAUACGCGAUUUAAUCGAGGACGACGAUGAAAUUCGUAUUCCGAUAAUCUGUUUCGAUCGAUUUAGGUCGCGAAAAAUUCUUAGCGUCUUUUUUUCAGCAAAAUCGAAUGCGUUGGUUUACGGUAAAGGGCAUUGGCUGCAAGCUUUCUGAAGGCACAUGGUGCUGGUCUACGGCGGAGAUGUUGGGAAAUCCAUGCUAUAAAAGAUCCACAAACAUCGCGGAUGAAUCGCGGACCUCCCACGCAGUGCGUCGAGUCUGAACUUUCUCAAGCGCGCCAGUCCACAGCUUGCAUAUGCCGAGACGUUUACGAAUCUGCAUCCCGCGAAAAGAUUUAAGAAAGAGCUGUAUUAACGCGACUUCGUAUUUCAAGAUUUAUGGAAAACACAGUGUGGCUCGCGUCUCUUGACCUCGCUCCAAAAUUAUUUCUCUAAUAAGAAUUUCCAACGUUCUCAAAUCCUUGAUGCGGAUCAAUCAGCGGUGUUUCGAAAAUAUUAAACCUCUAAAAAUAUAGAAACACAGGAAGAUGUGAGAAGAAGUUACACAUUUCUCCAAGACGAAUUCCCAGUAUAGUGGAAUUUUGACUCGAGGCAAUCCGCGCGUGUUAAAAAGAUACAGACGCCAGAAAACACGGAAAGAAAUAAUUUUUCUAAGAAGAGUUUCCAACAUCCUCAAACUGACCGAGGUUCGAUCAAACUUCUAUCUGUCAAGACACAUCAGAAGACGAGGAAAGAAGGAAGAAGAAAUGGAAGUGAGAAAUUAUCUCACGUAUGCCUCUAAUAUCGAGAUCGGGAACAAAGCAAGAGAGAAAAACCUUCGGGUUCAGGCUCGCAUUCCAGUGCGUCGUUCCAAUUCUGUUCCCCUACGGUCAUCUAGCUUGCUCGAGUAUGGCCACUAGCCACCCACCUAUCCAGAAAACGGAUAAAAAGACGAGAGGGAGUGUUCGGUGGAGAAAAAAAAGACAUAGAAGAAGAAGGGACAAGGUAGAGGUAGGGGCGGGAUGAAAGAGCAGAGAGGCGAGAAAGGAGGAUAUCGCGACGAUACCAGGAGCGUAAGGUCUCAGGGUACGCCCAAAGGGUCAUCACCCUGGCAUGGCACGAUGCUUUCGUUUCUGGCCGCGCCACCCUUCUCGGGCUCUACGAGUCUCGUGCUCUUUACCACACCCCCGUGACGUGCACUUUUGCUCCUUGGCGCGUCUCCAGGGACGAAGAAAUAUGGCCUGGUCUGCGAGAAAAUGGCGUAAUUAUAUACGAGGGCGGGAAAAAGGAGGGUGUAAAUCAAAACGGAGCCCCCUCUCUCUCUCUCUCUCUCUUUCUCUCUCUCUUUCUCUAGAGCUGUUCGAGGUACUGUGCUCGGGAAGAAGCGGGCAAACCGAAACGUGGAAGGAGAGGAGCACGAACUUGUUAUCUACCGGCGCGAGCUUCGACAUUCCCUUCGACCCGCGAACGCUAUCAUCUAUCGGUACUCCGGGGAAUCGUUGGCGCGCAACUGCGAUAACAUUUCCACCGAUCGAGCCGACGCGUGCCUCUCAUUUUGUUUCCGAGAGCACGAAAGCCAUUUUCAGAGCUUACAGCCUAGAGUUUAACGAUAUUAGAUCCGUGAAGCUUCGGAAAAGCCACGGGUCUGUAUUGAGAUUCAACCCAUUAAGAACCAUCAUAAAAGGCAAUUCCAUUUUUUUUCUGGUCAUCUCUUUUGAUGGCUAUCUCUUUUGAUUCCAAGUUACUUUUUUUUUUUAAUGACGAAAAAGCGGUUCUAUCUCGCUGGUCAGUUAGAAAUUUCGCGUUAAUCCAGCGGUAUAUGGUGGAAGCCUCGCAAUAGGAUGGAAAAGUGCGGUGAACGAACCGCAUCGUAAUUAGCGAAUGGAAUUCUUAAUUAUUCUAACGAGUGCAAUGACGUCACGUGCUGGAGGAUCCUAAGUACCCGACCAUAUUACCGCAACACCGACGUAACUUCUUUCCUGCUCUAUGCGACGUUUUCUCUUUUUUUCCCUUCCAGUCGUAGGCAGCCUUUUGAAAUACUCGAGGCCCCUUUACGCGAAUUUCUCCUGGUCGAGCCACCGCGUCUCGUACGCUCAGCCGAACGCGGUGUAACAACGCCAGAAUCACGCGAUGCCUAACUCCAGCAGUUGAAGAAACUAUCGUCGUUUUAAAUCGUGGAGAGCCGCCUCGACGAUUGUCACCUCGACGAAGAAACAAGUUGGGAGAUCGUGUCGAAAAUAAGCAGGUCAUAACGAGCAAUACUUCCAAACGCGAUUCUAUGCAAAUAGAAUCAACAGCCACGAAGAAACGGCACUGUUUCGCGUUGCAGUCGGUGGUCGACAACGGGCACAGCAACCGGAGCAAUGCCUGCAUCCAUAGAAAAUGAGAUACCUUUCAGCAACAUCGAAAAUAUAGGUCAUGGAACGAAACGGAGAGGAAGCUUGGUAAAUAGAAUGAGAGUGUGCGCGCAGGUGUCGACAGAAGAAGAAAGAGAGUCAGUCGCGAGACACGGUUUUCGUUUAGCAACGCUAGGAACAAGCACAUCGUGCUUCAAUACAUCUCGCUGAGAUUGUUGCGCCGAUUCUAAUAAUUUCCAAUAGUGUACGCUGGUAACCAUACGUUGGAAUAUUUUCCGCCAAAUGAUACCGUUUCCAGCGGUAUUUGAGCAAGCGAAAGGAAAAACAAACGAGCAACAGCCACCCUUGACGACUGUUUAGAUGGCGGAGAUUCACUGUGAAACGCCUGUGCCUCGUGCAACACACCGGGAAGGUUAAUACAGAGAUCUUUUCUGAAACGAAAUAUCGAUUGACGACGAACCGCUGGAGAAUCGUGCUACUCCUGCACAGCUGUAACGGAGAACCCGCAAGAAAAGAGACGAGACCUGAAGAGAAGAGAAGAGAAGAGAAGAGAAGAAAAGGAGAGAAAAAGGGCGGAGAAAGAGGAAACGAGGGUGCCGCACGAACGUCCUUGCUCAUAUACCACCGGCAGAACCACCCUCCUGUUGCCAACCGGGCAUCGAUCCAACGACCACGUUCCUCUGGUCUACCAAGAAAGCAUCCCUUGGCGUACUACCCGUUUCCUUCCGCCCGCAAACUUCCUUUCCUCCAAGAUCUAUCGAGCUGUAUUACUUUUAGACACGUUACCGGUCGUGUGAAAAUUAUUCUGAAAAUUUCAUUCCAAUAUCGACGUGCAGCUACGAAUAAACGACCUCAACGUUGGACACUUUCCAAAGUUUUUAAAGAGUUUGACGCAAGCGUGUCGCUAAUGCGAACAUGUGGAAUCUAUCUUUACUCGUUGAGUUUAUUUUUACAAAAUAUUCUAUCGAUUAAGAAUGAUGUAUAAAUAACAAAUAAAGGGAAGAAGAACGUCUUUAGUAGCUGGUACACAUACCAACAAAGAAUUCGGAAGCUUACAAUGUGGCAAUAUUAUCAUGAUAGCAUUGAUAAGGUUUGAAAUAAACGCAAAAAUGUAUCUAGAAGUUACAUAAUAUUUAUCGCAAACAUGCACUUUGCACGCAUCGCAAGAUUAUUUAAACGGUAAAAUAUUCAUUAUAUCAAUGGACGUUAGUUCUUAAUGGGAUUGCUUUUAGCAUUGGUUGUAUACUUAAGCCAACUGCCUACGAUAUAUUAAUUUUUUACGUAAUACAUAUUCAUAAAAAUUUUCCAUGAUAAUAUAGUAUAUGCAUUCGUAAAUACGUAAGAUAGAGCGCGUCGAAAAGGUGAAAGGGAACUGUACUCGUAUAUUCCUAACGCGGUAAAAAGACAAUGCUUGAUGUACACAAAGACUAUCGAAUACGUGAGUCAUACUUCUUAAACGAUAUACAUAAUAAGAGUGAAAUAACGCUCCGUGACAUUAUCGAGAAACGAAACAUCUGUCGAGGAACAUCGCGAUGCACCAAUGAAUCAGCCAUAAGGAAUAGAAAUAGUAGAAAUCUCUUUGUUACCUUGCUUUUUAUAUUCCAUCUCAUUGUUAUCGUAAUUCAAACGGAUGGAAAGAAUAUCGUCUAUAUUAAAGCGAUGUUUAAACUUUUUACGAUUAUAUGGAGAUCCUACAAUA